rnacentral:lncRNA from 1 species
GAGACUCGAGUCCACAGUGUGGGGACACUGAAGUGAUAGUGCAGGUGCUUGUUAGAGUACAAGGGUACUGAGCGUGACUAAGACAAGAAGUCACUUGGAUGUCUAUCCACUCGUCAGUGACUUGCUUGAUGUUGCAGUAGUAUGACUGAUCCUUUGACCUGCGGUGCUUCGGCUGCUCACAGUGAGGUUAUUGUAGUUUGACUGCACAUACACAUGGUCUCUAGUCAUA